rnacentral:rRNA from 1 species
AUUGAACGCUGGCGGCAGGCCUAACACAUGCAAGUCGAACGGUAACAGGAAGCAGCUUGCUGCUUUGCUGACGAGUGGCGGACGGGUGAGUAAUGUCUGGGAAACUGCCUGAUGGAGGGGGAUAACUACUGGAAACGGUAGCUAAUACCGCAUAACGUCGCAAGACCAAAGAGGGGGACCUUCGGGCCUCUUGCCAUCGGAUGUGCCCAGAUGGGAUUAGCUAGUAGGUGGGGUAACGGCUCACCUAGGCGACGAUCCCUAGCUGGUCUGAGAGGAUGACCAGCCACACUGAACUGAGACACGGUCCAGACUCCUACGGGAGGCAGCAGGGGGGAAUAUUGCACAGUGGGCGCAAGCCUGAUGCAGCCAUGCCGCGUGUAUGAAGAAGGCCUUCGGGUUGUAAAGUACUUUCAGCGGGGAGGAAGGGAGUAAAGUUAAUACCUUUGCUCAUUGACGUUACCCGCAGAAGAAGCACCGGCUAACUCCGUG